rnacentral:rRNA from 1 species
UGGGGAAUAUUGCACAAUGGGCGCAGCCUGAUGCAGCCAUGCCGCGUGUGUGAAGAAGGCCUUCGGGUUGUAAAGCACUUUCAGUCGUGAGGAAGGUGGUAGUGUUAAUAGCACUAUCAUUUGACGUUAGCGACAGAAGAAGCACCGGCUAACUCCGUGCCAGCAGCCGCGGUAAU